UCUAUGUAAGUUAAAGACUGUGGUAUCAAAUGUUCACACAUUAUAAUCUGUUACAGUUUAAUAUUUUAAGAUGUUAAAAUAUUCAGUUCCAUUACUGUGAUGUUCAUUUAAUUAGUAUUAUUGUUAUAUUAUUAUUUUUAUUAUUAUUUUUGUAUAUGUAUACUAAGCUUUGGCAAUAUUGUAUCAUUUACAUUCAUGCCAAUAAAGCAAUUUAAAUUGAAUUGAGAGAGAGAGAGAGAGAGAGAGACAGAGAGACAGACAGACAGACAGACAGACAGACAGACAGACAGAAACAGAGAGACAGACAGAGACAGAGACAGAGACACAGACAGACAGACAGAGAGAGACAGACAGACAGACAGAGACAGAGAGACAGACAGAGACAGAGACACAGACAGAGACAGACAGACAGACAGACAGACAGAGACAGAGACAGAGACACAGACAGACAGAGAGACACAGACAAAGAGAGACAGACAGACAGACAGACAGAGACACAGACAGAGAGAGACAGACGGACAGGUGAGGGUUUGUUCUCUUCUUAUGUUCGUCUGUUCCGCGCGUGUCCUGCAGGAGGCGCCGCUGCUCCGCGCUCGUGCGCCGGAAGUGAGUUUGAGUAGAGUUGAGUUUGCAGAAGUUGUGACUCUGUGGAGUUCAGCAGGUUAUUAGAUUCACUUCUGCACUUUAAACUCUCCUCCUGCAGCGCAGACAGAUCUACAGCAGCACACACGUGCUUCACUGACGGUUACAUUAUGACGCUGCAGACGAGCACAGGGCUUGAAAUGCAGCAGCUCCAGAGGUGCGUUUGGUUUUUCUCGGCUGUGAUGUUCAGAUGUUGUUCAGGGUUCAUCAUCAGCUCGUCUGUCUUUCUCUCCUCUGAUUGUUGUCUGGAAGCCUCUGCGAGAGAAACUCAAGACCUGAUUGAAAACAGCUCUCUCUUUCACACAAACAGCUGCUGUGAAGGUCUGUGUGUGAUUUCUGCUGUUUGUUCCAUUUACUUCAAUAACAUGAUCUGAAGCAGCACAGUUCUUCAGCAUCUCCACUUCUCACUGGGUUGGACCGCAGCGGCAGCUUUGUCUAAUGGUGCACAACAAAUUUGGGAUCUACUGGUGUUUUCUGUUUUCUGUAUUGCAUGAAUACUUUGUGUUGCACAAACUAAAUCUGGACGGUGGGUUUGUAGCUCCCAGCGUGGACAUGAAGAGUAAAGUUGGAAGAGUUUGUGUAAUUCUCAUUGUGUUUAUGUGCUUGUGUUUAUGUGAUCGCAUUUAAUACAUUUAAAAAAAAAUAAAAAAAUCUAUAUUUUUAGCAUCUGUGCAUUGAAUUAGAAAAUUAAUUAACUAAGAUAAGUUUGAUUGUUCUGUAAAACUGCUGUUUGUUUGAAUAGACUCAAUAAAACUGACGUAUUCGGAAUGAAAGAUGUUCAAUUAAACAUUCUAUAAUUGAUUUAGUUAAUUAAGUUUUUUUCUUUAGACUUUUUUUAAUGGGUGUUAUAUUAGGGUCAGUGAAAAACAUCUGCUGACUGAAUGAAUGAAUGUGAUGGAAAUUAAUCUGCAAAUGUUCGUCACUCAAACACAGUCAAGUCACAUUUAUUAUUAUGGCACUUUAUACUGUACAGACUACUGUUUUAAAGCAGCUUCACAGUAAUAAAUGGUUAAUGUUGCAGAAGUUUCAGCUGUAAGCAGCUUUACAGAAGACAAUAGAGUCAUUCUGUGUCAGAUAAUAUUUCAGACACUUCCCCAGCUAAAAUGUGUGAUUAUUAUUAUUUUUUUUUUCUGAAGAAAGACAAACAAAAAUAGUACUGAAAGCUAAAAUACUAAAUGCAGUGGAUUGAUAUUUACUAUGUAAUGUUUAGUAAUGCACUAUUUUGCAGAGGAGAGUCAAAAUGACUGUUUUCAUCUGAGAUUCAGAGCCAAACUACAGGAGGGUAAAAAUGAGUUCAGAAAGAUGGCAGCAUCAUGAUGUUAUUUUCACACAGAGAUUGUAAGCUCUAGCAGUAAAAUCUGUUGACUUCAGCAAUCUUUGCUGCAUUACAUGACAAUUGUGACACUUCAAAAAUGGGGAAAAAGCUCUUUUCUAAGUUUUUCCAAAGUUUGAUGUAACUCAAGAAGUAUUAAAGAUAUCUUAGAUUGUCCUUUUAGAUUCUAAUUAUUAAUAAAUGUUUCUUUUGGUGUUUCUGUUUUAAGGCUCUAUAUGGUUCAUUUCCAGAAAUUUGGGAUCUCAGUGCAGCUCAGUGAGUUAAUUGUUCAUUUGUACACAUCAAUGGUCAAAAACCAAAUGUGGGUCUCUUUGCAUCCAGCAGAUAUUUACUGUAUUUAAAGAGGAAAGUCUGAAUAAUAAAUAAUGUUAAUAUGUUUCUCUCUAUCAAAACAAUUGCAUUGAACACACCUGUGACAAAAAAUAUCCUUUUUCAUAAGGUUUACAUGCCUGUAACUUAAGAAAUAUUAAAGAUAUCCUAAUAUGCUUUUAUAGAUUUUGGCUCUUAACAAACUGUUCAUUUAUUACCUAUAUUUUUAAGGCUCUAUGUGGUUCAGUUCCAGAUAUAUUGGGACCUAAAUAUGGCUCCAAGAGAAAAAAGUUGAAUAUAACCAGUUUUCAAUGGUCAAAAACCAAAUGUGGGUCACUUUGCAUACAGAUGAUACUUUUUGUAUUUAAAGAAGAAUGUCUGAAAAUUUAAAAAAUGUUGACACUAGAAAUGUAUCUAAUUUCUCUAAACAAUAUUGUAUUGAACAAACCUCCCAGGUUAAAAAAUGCACUUCCAUAAUCUACUAAAAAUGCUCUAUUGUCACGCACUAAUUUUGUACUUAAUGUACUAAAAGUGAUUCUUUAGUGCUUCAUAAGAUAAACAACUGUGCUAUUUUGGGACACCAUGAAUAUGAACUAAAAUGUGCUUUUAACAUACUAUCUCUAUAUUUAAUAUAUAUAUAUAUAUAUAUAUAUAUAUUUAGUUUUCACUUGAACUAUCUUUUACACACUAGUAGAGGGGAAGUCGUGGCCUAGUGGUUAGAGAGUUUGACUCCUAACCCUAAGGUUGUGGGUUUGAGUCUCAGGCCGGUAAUACCACGACUGAGGUGCCCUUGAGCAAGACACCGAACCCCCAACUGCUCCCCGGGCGCCGCGGCAUAAAUGAUACCCACUGCUCCGGGUGUGUGUUCACGGUGUGUUCACUUCUCACUGCUGUGUGUGUGCACUUUGGAUGGGUUAAAUGCAGAGCACCAAUUCUGAGUAUGGGUCACCAUACUUGGCUGUAUGUCACGCCACCUUCACUAGAGUGGUAGUAAGUGUACUUACUACAAGU
ensembl:lncRNA